rnacentral:rRNA from 1 species
AGCUCCAAUAGCGUAUAUUAAAGUUGUUGCAGUUAAAAAGCUCGUAGUUGGAGUUCAGGGUGAGCUCAGCUGGUCGGCCUAAUGGGUCAGAACUGGUUGACUCUCCCUUGGUUGUGGAUCCCUCCGGAGUUAACUCUUCGGCUGUGGAGUCCACAUCGUUUACCUUGAAAAAAUUAGAGUGUUCAAAGCAGGCGUUUGCUUGAAUAUAUUAGCAUGGAAUAAUGGAAUAGGACGCUGGUUCUACUUUGUUGGUUUUGAGAGCCAGAGUAAUGAUUAAUAGGGACAGUUGGGGGCAUUCAUAUUUCAUUGUCAGAGGUGAAAUUCUUGGAUUUAUGAAAGAUGGACUUCUGCGAAAGCAUUUGCCAAGGAUGUUU